rnacentral:rRNA from 1 species
AACGAACGCUGGCGGCAGGCUUAACACAUGCAAGUCGAGCGCCCCGCAAGGGGAGCGGCAGACGGGUGAGUAACGCGUGGGAAUCUACCCAUCUCUACGGAAUAACGCAUGGAAACGUGUGCUAAUACCGCAUACGUCCUUCGGGAGAAAGAUUUAUCGGAGAUGGAUGAGCCCGCGUUGGAUUAGCCAGUUGGUGGGGUAAAGGCCUACCAAGGCGACGAUCCAUAGCUGGUCUGAGAGGAUGAUCAGCCACACUAGGACUGAGACACGGCCCAGACUCCUACGGGAGGCAGCAGUGAGGAAUAUUGGACAAUGGGCGCAAGCCUGAUCCAGCCAUGCCGCGUGAGUGAUGAAGGCCCUAGGGUUGUAAAGCUCUUUCACCGGUGAAGAUAAUGACGGUAACCGGAGAAGAAGCCCCGGCUAACUUCGUGCCAGCCGCCGCGGUAACAC